rnacentral:rRNA from 1 species
GGGGUGGCGGCAGCUACACAUGCAGUCGAGCGGAUGACGGGAGCUUGCUCCUUGAUUCAGCGGCGGACGGGUGAGUAAUGCCUAGGAAUCUGCCUGGUAGUGGGGGACAACGUUUCGAAAGGAACGCUAAUACCGCAUACGUCCUACGGGAGAAAGCAGGGGACCUUCGGGCCUUGCGCUAUCAGAUGAGCCUAGGUCGGAUUAGCUAGUUGGUGAGGUAAUGGCUCACCAAGGCGACGAUCCGUAACUGGUCUGAGAGGAUGAUCAGUCACACUGGAACUGAGACACGGUCCAGACUCCUACGGGAGGCAGCAGUGGGGAAUAUUGGACAAUGGGCGAAAGCCUGAUCCAGCCAUGCCGCGUGUGUGAAGAAGGUCUUCGGAUUGUAAAGCACUUUAAGUUGGGAGGAAGGGCAGUAAGUUAAUACCUUGCUGUUUUGACGUUACCGACAGAAUAAGCACCGGCUAACUCUGUGCCAGCAGCCGCGGUAAUACAGAGGGUGCAAGCGUUAAUCGGAAUUACUGGGCGUAAAGCGCGCGUAGGUGGUUCGUUAAGUUGGAUGUGAAAGCCCCGGGCUCAACCUGGGAACUGCAUCCAAAACUGGCGAGCUAGAGUACGGUAGAGGGUGGUGGAAUUUCCUGUGUAGCGGUGAAAUGCGUAGAUAUAGGAAGGAACACCAGUGGCGAAGGCGACCACCUGGACUGAUACUGACACUGAGGUGCGAAAGCGUGGGGAGCAAACAGGAUUAGAUACCCUGGUAGUCCACGCCGUAACGAUGUCAACUAGCCUUUGGAAUCCUUGAGAUUUUAGUGGCGCACUAACGCAUUAAGUUGACCGCCUGGGGAGUACGGCCGCCACGGUUAAAACUCAGAUGGAUUUGACGGGGGCCCGGCACAAACGGCUGGGAGCAUGUGGUUUUAAUUCGAAGCAAUCGCGAAAGAACCUUACCACGCCUUGAUCAUGCAGAGGACUGUCCAGAGAUGAGAUUGGUGGCUUUCUA